CACCAUCCUUCUAUCCUGUACCCUGCCUCCUAAAGAUCCACUUACUGUCUUUGUCCACUCCUCCCCCUGCUCACCACAGCCAUGGCUGAGGCUGCCAGCCUCACUUCAGGCUUCCAAUUCUUCCUUGACUCUGUUUCCUCGAGAGUGUGGAGUAAUCCUUCCAAAAUGCAAAUUGGACCCUGUCACGUGCCUGCCUCAAGCAGGGAGUCCCUAAGUGGCUCUGCGGGAACAAAGGCCAAAGGAAGCUCACAAAGAGCCCCCUUGCCUGCACCGCUCGUUUCCCCUGCCACUCCUCACCCUUGAGCUAUGAGAAGUGGUACAGGACUCUCUCCAAUGGCACAUGCAAACCUGAGUUCAUCUGUAGGGGAAGAUGCUUUCAAGAUAACUCGGGGAAAGGAAGAGCCAUCACAUGGACAGUGCCAGGCAGCUCAAGUCAGGAAGGAGCUCCAGCUCAGACGGUGAGCAGAUGCCGGAUGCCAUCGAUGCCCAGGGACAGACUGGAACGCGUCUCUGCCUCUGUCCAAGCCAUCUCUAACCACAGGAGAAGGCUGUGCCUCCCCCACACUGACCCAGCUAUCAGGCUGAGAGUCCUUUGUGGAAUAUGCACUGUCGCUCCCUAUGGAGAACAAAAGGCUAUCUCGAGCUGGAAACGAUCAGCAGAGGUGAAAUGUGGCCGACGUGUGACUGGACUUCAAGAAGAAAGGCUGGGACUGAGGAUCGGCUGUAACUUUGUCCCUGGGCUCCCCAGCUGGUUCUUUCACAGUAGAGUCCCCAGUUAAUUCAAGACUGCCCCCCACCCCCGCCCCCACCCCCCCCACCCCCGUAACCUGCCUUUCUGUGUGUGAAGUUGUGAUCUGGAGAGCUGCAGCACACACGGAUGGUGGAAGGCCUAAGGAACUCCAUCCCUGCUGUGGAGGAGUUGUUAUCUGUGCUGGGGCAAGACAGCUGCCUUGGGGUCCCCUGCUCCUGUAAGUAACCCCUCAACCCUGCUCUGUAAAUAAGCCAAAUAAACUCAUGGGCUCCCCACAUUGGGCCCCCUGGGUGGACUGGUCCUUCUGGUUUAUCCUCGGUGCUCCAGAAAGGAGUAGAUGUUUGUCCGCGUCUCCCUGGAGAAGCGUUCUGUGAACCCCGUGCGGUGCUUGGUGGAAAAUGUAUUCUCAAGGCCCUGUUGGCUAAGCCCGUUUUAGAAAAAUAAACAAACUUGUGUAAUCAAACAUGUAAAGUCCCAAAAUUCAGUUUUUCUUUUUAAGAUUCCCAUUGGACAAAUAGAAAGAAUUAAAAACAAACAAACAAACAGGCAAGCAAACAAAACCCUGCAUGGAUCAGUUUUCUGAAGACCACGCAUGUCCUUUUAGAGGUAGCGGCUUCUCCCCCAAUUUUCCAGACACACACACAUCUCUGCUUUCCUCUUGUGCACCUGGUGGAGACUGUUGACGAAAGCCUCGUUGAUAAUUUGGUGGCUGGCAAUCCUGAGUAUACUUUCCAAAGGAAAUGACGUCAUAAGAGGCUUUGGGCUUCCUGGGGCUGCUGGCACAGCCUAAUUAACCUAGCACACUACCGAGAAGCUAUGGAUUUUCUGAAGGAAAUGAACAGAGAAAGAAGUAAUUGUGACGGUCGUGAAAUAAACAGAAAACCUGAACAAGGGCUGCUUGCUCUUGCUCCCUUGGAGCAGACCUUAGCUCGCCUCCAGUCUGCACUCCUAAGUGAUCACGGCCUGAAAUUAGUGACUUCCUCUGCUAACAGCCGACUCUGACAGCUGCUCAGCUCUGCCAGGCAUACAUGGCUUUCAUCUACCACAAACAGCCUCUCUGAAGUCAGUGACGUCUCCACGGCAACCAGAUCAAGUUUUUCCAGAGAUAUUGGGACAGAAAAGGAGAAGAAAUUGACAGGUUUUGUUAAGGGGCCUGAACCCUGAGCUGUCAGGGGGAAGGGUUCCAGACAUUGCCCUCCGUUUUCUGAUGAGCUCUGGGCUUCCCGCCCCCCCAACCUCCCACCUCCCCC
rnacentral:lncRNA from 1 species